rnacentral:lncRNA from 1 species
ACAGGACUUUACCGAAUCACUCAGUUUUGAAGAUACAUAAAAUUGUUGCUUGUUCCUAAGCAUUUCUUUUAAAAGGGUGAGUGAACUGAUUAGGUUGAACCUGUCAUUGCCUCUUUAUUGUCCACAGAACCAGCCAUUGCCUUUAGUAAGAAGGCAAAGCAGAAAUGCUGCAGGCAGCUAUUUAAUCUGCACUUUACUGAAGAAAUUAUGCAGGAUUUGUCUGGCAUAGAAUCACUGGCUUGUGUAAACACCAGAUGUAAGUGAAACACAGUGUCUUAACUAGAAUGCUGUGUUUAGGCCAAUAAAAGUAAUAUAUUAUUAUAGACAAUGCUCCUGGUACCUAUAUCUGGGCUAUGCACCAGCAACAUCUUCUGUCUCCCUGGGCCUUGCCAGGGGCUGCUCUGACUGCCUGGCUCUGCUGGUUUAGUGCUGGGAAGGGCUGCAGCUGAGGUACACAUGCACGUCCUGCUCUUGUGCUAUGCUCUGAGACAGUGUUCCUUGGUGUCUGCAGAGAUCCAACCUUGCUGUCUGAUGUAGCCUUCUGCUUCUCACCUCAGUGCUUGCAGGUGUGUCCUUGCAGGGUAUGCUCUGGUUCCAGACUCCUUAGGGAGCAAAACAAGAAAGACCUUAUCCCAUCCAAGGGCUGAUAAACCCAUGCCUGCUGGGUGAAUAUGAAGAGGGAAAGGAGCAUCCUGCAAGCAGGGAUACAGUCUGUGAGGUCACUGACUUUUGUUCUGUCUGCUGAGAAAGCCUGCAAGCAGGGCAGAAAGAUGCUGUCUCAGGCUCUGCCUUCAUGACCCCAUCUUCUCCCAGCUGCUGCUGUUCCCAGUGUUGGAGGCCACAGGCUGCAUACCCAGUUUCCUAAGGGUGGCACAGCCAUCAGCCUGCUGGAAGGCUUUCAGUCCCACCAUUGGGUGCUGUUCCUCAGCAGCUGGGAAGGAGGAAGAGUGGCCCUUCGUGCUCACUGUAACACCUGCUUCAACCACAACAUGCUGCAGCAGUUGAGGACAAGGUCUGAGGUUUUCCAAAGAUGUUUAAUGGUGAGAAAAAUAAUUCAAUUAGCUUACCAAAAUAAGGUACCCUACAAUGUUCUCCUUCUUAGAUAAA